GGGGACGUUACGGAUUCGACAGGGAUAGUUCGAGCUUGGAUUGCGAGUCGGGGGGAUCGGCCUCGUUACAAACGUCAAAGCCAAUAAUAACUGGCAAAACUAAUAACAACCUAGCUUUCGCUGCCUAAGAACAGUCGAUAGCUGAUCCUCCGUGCAUCGCCCAUGUGCUACGGUAAGGGUCUCAAAUGAAGUGGGAUACGAUUUUAAGUCUCCGUCUGGGGCUUAAAAGAAGAGCAUAAUCAGACUAGCUUUGCGAAAGCCUGUUGUCGGGCUGCUGCAUAUGCGAAACCCUAAUACGAUGACUACGCUCGUAGAAGUCUAAGUGCCGUUAUUUCUGGACGUGGGUUCGACUCCCACCGUCUCCAUUA
rnacentral:tmRNA from 1 species